rnacentral:miRNA from 1 species
AGUUUUGCGUAGUUGCUCUGC